rnacentral:lncRNA from 1 species
GAUGAAAGUGAGGAUGUUAAGACAACCUUGUCACAAGCGGAUUCAAAUGUGUUUGAUGAAGAUGAUGUGCUGGAUAUCUCAUAAGCAUCAAGAACGCUCUCUUGAAUAGUUUGUUUUAUAUUUUGACUUUUAGUGAAUGAAAUAUAGUCCUUUUUUUUUUUACCUUUUUAGUAUUUAUUGUGAUAUAUUUGGAACAAUAUAAACAGUUAUUAAGUUUUGCGAA